ensembl:lncRNA
CUUGGCGUGAUCCUUAUUUAUUUCUUUUUGCUUUAGGCUCUCUCAGUCUCAGAACAUGAAUCAAGCCUCAGCUACGCUGCAAACAGUAAACCAGAAUGAAAGUCAAAUUUACUCAUCUCUUCUCCACGGUGAUGCUUCUGCCUAUGAGACAAUCAGACGUUCUGGAAAUUCUAUGAACCAGCCAACUUCUACAAUAAUGUCACGUCAGCUUGAAGGACUUAAUAAGAGCAGUCCAUAAAAUCAAGUGACUCUUCAGCAGAAGAAGAGACUGAGUGGCAACAAUGUGAAAAACAACAUUCAAGUUUAAAUGUGUUUGAUAACAUUUAUACAUGGCAAAACUGCUAAUACUGCUUUUGUGUUUAUGCUGAUGUAGUAUCUGAGAUAAAUAAGACCAUAUAAGUAACUGUGUUAAGCAGAAGAGUCAGUGUCGCUCAAUUCACCACCUCACAAUCAGCAGGUACAUUAAUGAAGCCUUGUAAAAUGUUACCUUCAUAUUAAACACAUUUUCCAAGUUAAAGGCCCUUGAAGUACAUGGAGAAGGUCACUGUUUUUUUUUCUGUUGAAUGUGUUAUUUUUUCCAGCAUUUCUUAGCAAUGCAAC